rnacentral:rRNA from 1 species
UACGUAGGGGGCAAGCGUUGUCCGGAUUUAUUGGGCGUAAAGAGCGUGUAGGCGGCUUGGUAGGUCCGCUGUGAAAACUCGAGGCUCAACCUCGAGAUGUCGGCGGAAACCACUUGGCUAGAGUCCGGAAGAGGAGAGUGGAAUUCCUGGUGUAGCGGUGAAAUGCGCAGAUAUCAGGAGGAACACCGGUGGUGUAGACGGCUUUCUGGACCGACACUGACGCUGAGACACGAAAGCGUGGGUAGCAAACAGG